rnacentral:rRNA from 1 species
UACGUAGGGUGCGAGCGUUGUCCGGAAUUAUUGGGCGUAAAGAGCUUGUAGGUGGUUUGUCGCGUCUGCCGUGAAAAUCCGGGGCUCAACCCCGGACUUGCGGUGGGUACGGGCAGACUAGAGUGUGGUAGGGGAGACUGGAAUUCCUGGUGUAGCGGUGAAAUGCGUAGAUAUCAAGAGGAACACCUGAGGUGAAGACGGGUUGCUGGGCUGACACUGACGCUGAGGCGCGAAAGCUAGGGUAGCAAACAGG